AAUGCUGUGACUGUGUUCAUUUGCCUUGCAAAAGAUUCUGGUCUUAGAAGUCAAAUUCUGGAUGUGAAGAGAUGUAUGGAUAGCCCCUACUUUGAAUUGGACUGAUGGUAUUAUUAGACUGUCAAGAUAAUUGUGGUGUUCAGGAGAUUUUCUUCAACAUCUUGACGAGUCUUUGCCAUCACACUUCCUCGUCCAGGUCUGUUCAACGGUAAAAUGUGUGGCCUCUUUGCGUUUUCAGAAAACCACACGUACACUAACUUUCCUGUGAUAUCUUUUUUCUGCCUUGCUCUCAGCAGACGGAGACAGAGAGUGUUUUCCGGGAAGCUCCGACGUUUCGUUUUUGGGUCACGUUGUGACAAGUCGUCGCGGAAACCUGGGGGUCAAGGCAGAUUCUUCCUCUUCUGCGGUUCAGAAAGACGGAGGAAAGAGGCAGCUCGCAUACAGACCGAUAGGGCUGACUGAGAGGUCACUUGAGUCACUGACGGACUGAAGUACGACCCCUCCUCCGCGGCGAUGACCCCGCUGUACUCCUAUGAGUGUCUGUAUCAGGUUAACAGAGCUGCUCGCUGUCAGUGCUCCAACUUCGACAUUCCCGCUGUCCAUGACACGGAUACAUGCAGGAGAUGGACCGCAACAGUUUUUUUUUUUUUUUUUUUUGCGCCUUAACAAUUCGAUGUAUAGAAAGAGAUGAAUCAUUAUGUUGUUAUGGAGGUAAAUAUGAAAGUAUCUCCAAAGCAAACCUUCUCUGGUGAAAAACAUCAGUGCACGUUUUGUUUGUCGAAUGAU